rnacentral:rRNA from 1 species
UAACCUGCCCAAGAGAUCGGGAUAACACCUGGAAACAGAUGCUAAUACCGGAUAACAACAGAUGAUGCCUAUCAACUGUUUAAAAGAUGGUUCUGCUAUCACUCUUGGAUGGACCUGCGGUGCAUUAGCUAGUUGGUAGGGUAACGGCCUACCAAGGCGAUGAUGCAUAGCCGAGUUGAGAGACUGAUCGGCCACAUUGGGACUGAGACGCGGCCCAAACUCCUACGGGAGGCAGCAGUG